rnacentral:rRNA from 1 species
AACGAACGCUGGCGGCGUGUUUAAGACAUGCAAGUCGCACGGGAUAAGACAUGUAGUUAUACUUGUUUUAUUUAGUGGCGCACGGGUGAGUAACACGUGAAUUACAUGCCCUAUAGUGGGGAAUAGCCCAGGGAAACUUGGAUUAAUACACCAUGGUAUCGAAAGAUUAAAGGUGGCCGCAAGGCUGUCGCUAUAGGAUCGGUUCGCGCCCUAUCAGCUUGUUGGUGAGGUAACGGCUCACCAAGGCAAUGACGGGUACCUGGUCUGAGAGGACGAUCAGGCACACUGGAACUGAGACACGGUCCAGACACCUACGGGUGGCAGCAGUCGAGAAUAAUUCACAAUGGGGGCAACCCUGAUGGUGCAACGCCGCGUGGAGGAUGACGGUCUUCGGAUUGUAAAUUCCUGUCAUCUGGGAGAAAGACCUGACGGUAAAUAGCCGGCAGGGUUGAUAGUACCAGAAGAGGAAGGGACGGCUAACUUCGUGCCAGCAGCCGCAGUAA